rnacentral:rRNA from 1 species
GACGAACGCUGGCGGCGUGCUUAACACAUGCAAGUCGAACGGUAAGGCCCUUCGGGGUACACGAGUGGCGAACGGGUGAGUAACACGUGGGUGAUCUGCCCUGCACUCCGGGAUAAGCCUGGGAAACUGGGUCUAAUACCGGAUAGGACCACUGCCUGCAUGGGUGGUGGUGGAAAGCUUUUGCGGUGUGGGGUGGGCCCGCGGCCUAUCAGCUUGUUGGGGGGGUGAUGGCCUACCAAGGCGACGACGGGUAGCCGGCCUGAGAGGGUGACCGGCCACACGGGGACUGAGAUACGGCCCAGACUCCUACGGGAGGCAGCAGUGGGGAAUAUUGCGCAAUGGGCGCAAGCCUGAUGCAGCGACGCCGCGUGAGGGAUGACGGCCUUCGGGUUGUAAACCUCUUUCAGCACCGACGAAGCGCAAGUGACGGUAGGUGCAGAAGAAGGACCGGCCAACUACGUGCCAGCAGCCGCCGUAA